rfam:Blastocystis hominis, Singapore isolate B (sub-type 7) whole genome shotgun sequence assembly, scaffold_1
GCGACUAUAGCUCAGUGGUAGAGCAUUCGAUUGCAGAUUGAGAGGUCGACGGUUCAAUCCCGCCUGGUCGCU